rnacentral:rRNA from 1 species
CCAGACUCCUACGGGAGGCAGCAGUGAGGAAUAUUGGUCAAUGGGCGGGAGCCUGAACCAGCCAAGUCGCGUGAGGGAAGACGGCCCUACGGGUUGUAAACUUCUUUUGUCAGGGAGCAAUUGGGUCCACGCGUGGGCUUAGCGAGAGUACCUGAAGAAAAAGCAUCGGCUAACUCCGUGCCAGCAGCCGCGGUAAUACGGAGGAUGCGAGCGUUAUCCGGAUUUACUGGGUGUAAAGGGCGUGUAGGCGGGCCUGUAAGUCAGAAGUGAAAUCUGGGGGCUUAACCCCCAAGCUGCUUUUGAAACUGCGGGUCUUGUGUGAUGGAGAGGCAGGCGGAAUUCCCAGUGUAGCGGUGAAAUGCGUAGAUAUUGGGAGGAACACCAGUGGCGAAGGCGGCCUGCUGGACAUUAACUGACGCUGAGGCGCGAAAGCGUGGGGAGCAAACAGU